rnacentral:misc_RNA from 1 species
AAAUUGAGCCGAAUAAUGGCGAUUAGCAACAUGUAAACAAUUUUCACACGUUUAUUAUCCAAAUUCGAAGUGUCGUAGCUUUUACUUUGUGAAGAAACAAAAGAUGGGGUCAGCAAAGCAACAAUCCGCAAUAUCUAAGAUAAUGGGACUACUCCAAGAAUGGGAUAAAGGUAGUAAAGUCGUUAGACAAAAAAUUCUACAGGAUUUCGUUGCACAAAAUCAACAUAAAACUGGACCAGAGUUGGAACAAGAAUUUGCACAGGCCGCUAGUUUGUUUCUUACAAGACUCACAGCGUGGCUUAGACUGACAUACAUGAUAGGAACCUGUUUAAAUGAACAACUGAGAGCGAUUUCCAUAUUUUUAUCUGCAUCAAGUGGACACAAAUACAUGGCAGAAUUCUUAGAGGUUGGGGGAGUCCUCACUCUGUUAGAGAUUAUUGGAUUAAAACAAGCAAAGGAGGUGGACAAACUCCAGGCUCUGAACUGUCUUAUCUGUAUAGCUAAUGCUGGGAGGAAGUACAAGGAGCUGGUGUGUGAGAGUUAUGGUAGGUACAUGUGAUGUAUAUAUUACAUUUGGAGCAAAAUCACAGAUAACACAGCUUCAUGUACAUGAAAUUACUGUGCACAUGGUUAUUUUCACACAGCUGUGUAAUUUUUGCCCUUCUACACUUGCUACCAGUUUCAUGCCGUCUUGAAUUCGCCCAGACACAGUUUAUUUUAAAGAGAGAUAAUUUAAGACAGCUGAAUUUGUCCAUUCUUAAAUUUGUCCGGUGACAACAAGGACAAAAGUGACAAAAAAGAAGGCAAAUACUUCUCUGUAUACAGUAUGCUUUACAGACUUCUGUCAACUAAAGAGCAUUUUUGUAAUCAUGUACCUGCAUCUUGAACUCUUCAAUAUUAUUAAUCAAUAAAUAAAUGAUAAAACUAUCAGUAAAACAUAAGAGCAAUUGCAUUCUUUCCCAAUGACCACUUAAAGAAUAUGACAAUCAUUUAUAGCCCAGCUCCUUAUAAUGACAAUUGUACUUUUUUGAAAAAUAGGUAAAUUAAAUUCUCAGGAGGAAUGAAUGAAUUCAUUUUUAUGCAUAAAAAAUCAGUAAUAAAUUUCCUGAAAAUGCAUAUUCAAAAAAUUAAAGAGUACAAGAAAUUAUGUAAUUUUCCAUAGUAAUUUAAAUUAAUUGAGGUAUUUAUUCAGAAUUCUUAUAGUGACGGUGACAGCAAGAUUUUUGAUUUAUGAAAAUGUAAAAUGCCAUUAUCAAAUUAUGAAAUAAAUGGGAUUUUAAAUGUCAUCACCAUGUUUACCAACUUUCUUUUAACAGUAAUAAAUAUUGUAUUUUACUGUUUCCCACAUUAAUACGUAAGAUUUAUAUUCCACUGAGAAUAAAAAGCAAAAGAGUUUCACUACAGUUCCUAUUUAAUAUUUCAUUGCCUGUUGAGCUUAAAGAAUCCUUAGUUAAAUUAAUAAUGGGUAUAAAUUUUAUCAAUGUUAAAUUCUGAUGAUCAAAAAACAAAACUGUUAAUUCUGUGUAUGAAAUCAAAUCAUUUAUAGGCAUCCGAGCAGUUGCAGAGUGCUUAGCAAAAUCAAAGUCUGAAGAAACACAAGAUGCUUGCAGAAACAUCUUGCUGAUGCUGGCACAAGGAAAUCCCAAAUUUGAAGUCCAAGUUUACAAGGGUCUGAUCGCUCUCUUGCCCUGUAGUUCUCCCAAAGCCCAGCAGAUGGCAGCACAAUCUCUGCGCGUCAUUCAGCCAGUGGUAAAGAAUGCCAAUCCAAACAUUGUAGAACCGCUGUUGAAUCUUCUAAAAACAUUACAUCUUGAGGUGCAGUUUGAAGCCAUUGAGUUGAUUAAAGAACUGAUGGAGUAUGAGGUAUCAGAAACAAUCCUACAGAAACUGGUCUCUCUCCUGAGGCCUUCCAAGGAGGAAAUUGUCAAACGUCCAGAGAUUCUAGAAGAUCCAGAUGUUCCCAAAAUAAAUGCACCUUUACCAGUAUUUGUGCAGCAAGCUGCAGCUGCUAAAACCAUUGGCAUUUUAUCAAGAGAAUCUAAUGAAAUUGCAGAAAAACUUAUCCAAUUGAGAGUGACCCAUAAUCUCCUGUACUCCAUGGGUAAUAUGGAUUAUGCAGACAGUCAGCGACAGUCAAGUAUUUCCUUGGAGUAUUUAUGUCGAACUUUUCCAAUUGUUGAUGAGCAUGUAAAGGAGGCAAUGGGAGAUAAUCUUUACGAUUUAUUCAUGUCCAAUCCUGAAGGACUUUACAUGACAAUGACACACGUCCAAGCUGAUGUUCUGGUGUCCAAUAAAGUCAACAUUCCAAAACUGGUGGAUAGAGUGGACUAAUGCCAUUGAGAAGAAGAUUUCAUUCAGAGAAAUAAGGAGACUCAUGGGUAUCUUGAGUACCAGUGAAAUCUGUAUCUGACAUUGUUAAAAACCUGUGAUAUUUGUAAAUAUAUGUAGAUUAUAAAUAAAUUUUAAAA